rnacentral:tRNA from 3 species
UCCGAUAUGGUGUAGUGGCCAACAUGAUGCCCUCUCACCUCGAUGAGAGGUUAGGCAUAGCCCCGAGUUCGAUUCUCGGUUUCGGAA